rnacentral:rRNA from 1 species
AUUGAACGCUGGCGGCAGGCUUAACACAUGCAAGUCGAGCGAGCGGCGGACGGGUGAGUAAUGUCUGGGAAACUGCCUGAUGGAGGGGGAUAACUACUGGAACCGGUAGCUAUUACCGCAUACCAUCAGAGUUGCCCAGAUGGGAUUAGCUAGUAGGUGGGGUAUUGGCUCACCUAGGCGCCGAUCCCUAGCUGGUCUGAGAGGAUGACAAGCCACACGGGAACUGAGCAACGGUCCAGACUCCUACGGGAGGAAGCAGUGGGGAAUAUUGCACAAGGGGGGCAAUCCUGAUGCAGCCAUGCCGCGGGUGUGAAGAAGGCCUUCGGGUUGUAAAGCACUUUCAGCGAGGAGGCGUUACUCGCAGAAGAAGCACCGGCUAACUCCGUGCCAGCAGCCGCGGUAAUUC